rnacentral:rRNA from 1 species
AUACGGAGGGGGCUAGCGUUGUUCGGAAUUACUGGGCGUAAAGCGUACGUAGGCGGACUGAUCAGUUGGGGGUGAAAUCCCAGGGCUUAACCCUGGAACUGCCUUCAAUACUGUCAGUCUUGAGUUUGGGAGAGGUGAGUGGAAUUCCUAGUGUAGAGGUGAAAUUCAUAGAUAUUAGGAGGAACACCAGUGGCGAAGGCGGCUCACUGGCCCAUUACUGACGCUCAGGUACGAAAGCGUGGGGAGCAAACAGGAUUAGAUACCCUAGUAGUCC